UAGGGAAUCUUCGGCAAUGGGGGGAACCCUGACCGAGCAACGCCGCGUGAGUGAAGAAGGUUUUCGGAUCGUAAAGCUUUGUUGGUAAGGAAGAACGAGUGUGAGAAUGGAAAGUUCAUGCUGUGACGGUACUUAACCAGAAAGGGACGGCUAACUACGUGCCAGCAGCCGCGGUAAUACGUAGGUCCCGAGCGUUGUCCGGAUUUAUUGGGCGUAAAGCGAGCGCAGGCGGUUAGAAAAGUCUGAAGUGAAAGGCAGUGGCUCAACCAUUGUAGGCUUUGGAAACUGUUUAACUUGAGUGCAGAAGGGGAGAGUGGAAUUCCAUGUGUAGCGGUGAAAUGCGUAGAUAUAUGGAGGAACACCGGUGGCGAAGGCGGCUCUCUGGUCUGUAACUGACGCUGAGGCUCGAAAGCGUGGGGAGCGAACAGG
rnacentral:rRNA from 1 species